AAUGCAGAGGAUCUUUUGCAAAGCCAUUUGAUUUGGUUGGGUGAAGGGAUGAUUAAGGGGCAAAGAGCUGCCACCACCUUCUUCUCAUAUCCCACCACACCCCCAUCUUUGGGUGGCAGGUGAUCACUGACUGGGUGCUAAUGGUGCACUGAGUAUGUGGGUGAACCAUGAAACACUUGAAGGUAUACCAGGAACGCACAAAAACAUCGUGACAUUUUAUACACACUGGAGACAGCAACCAUGAAUGAGAUUGUCUGAACAACUGGAUAACUUUGAAUACGGACUGGGUAUGUGAUUAAACAGACAUGGAAAACUGAAGAUCAUUAACUACAAAAAAUUAGGUAGGCUGGAGAGACGGCUCAUAGAAUAAAGGUACUUGCUGCCAAUUCUGAUGAGCCAAGCUCAAUCUCUGGGACCCACAUGGUGGAAGGAAGGAACCAAUUCUCACAGUUGUCCUCUCACCUCCACAUGUACACACAUGUACUUCC